rnacentral:lncRNA from 10 species
CGCAGCUUGCACAGAAGGUAUGGGAAUGGCAUUACUGCUUUAUUCUUUGCCUUGGUCUACACAGGAAUAAAGCAAAGAAGAAACUGGUGCCUAAGGUCACACUGAUAAUAGAUGAAGUGAUGGAGCAAGGAUUCAACCGCCAGCAGUUCGGUUCCUCAGCCUCUGCGAAACUACUUAUUUGAAGCUUUAUUCCAACUGACUCCUAAAAGGCCUUACCAGAUCCUGCACGUUAUAGGAAGGAGGGAGUGUUUGACAGCAGGGUUUUGCCAUGUUGGCCAGGCUGGUCUCGAACUCCUGACCUCAAGUGAUCUGCCUACCUCGACCUCCCAACGUACUGGGAUUACAAGUGUGAGCCACUGCACCCAGCCUUGGCAUUUUCAUUGCUAUAUAUAAGCCCCCGAUCUCAUAUGCUACUCAUGACCAUCUGUUACACCUUAGAGGGAAUCUAAAUCAUCUAAUCACUAAAUGAUGCGCCCACUGCUUCAUCUCUACUUAUACAGUGAAAGAUCAUCGCUUUCAUCAAAGGAAAAUGACAAAUUAACAUAAAAGGAAGUUGUAGAAUGAAGGAACAAGGAUGAAACCAGAAAUUGAAAUAUGUCAAUAAA